GGAACUCUAGGAAAAGGAGAAGUGAACUGAGGAGAGACCUUGCACUAGGUAGAUGUUUGUCAAGGGUGACCUCAAACACCCCUCCAACAUGAACAACACCGUGUCUGGAGUGCAGCUGGGGAAUCUCUACCAUCAAGAAAAGUGGGAGCUACAAUUGAAGGCAUUCUAUCCAUGGACAAAUUUCUAUAACAUCAUCUCUGAAAACUGUGGAUUAAUGGGGGGGAAAAAAGGAAAUAGGUGUAAUUUCAAGAGAUACCCAAAGGAAUGCAUAAAUAAUGCCUACCAAAGUCAUGUACUGGAACAGUACAUAAUUUGUUUGGAAACCAGUGCCAAUGGGUUAAGAGUCUGUUAUCAGUCUGAGAAGAGCAACUGUUACAUAAAUAAAGCACAUACUCUACACUGAGAAGAUUACAGGAAAUGUGAAGAACUGUUAAUACAACGGAUUAAUGGAGCUUGAUAGAAGCUUAGGAAAUCUUCUCCACAGCCCCUGCCUUUGGGCAGC
rnacentral:lncRNA from 1 species